GACGAACGCUGGCGGCGUGCUUAACACAUGCAAGUCGAGCGGUAAGGCCCUUUCGGGGGUACGACGAGCGGCGAACGGGUGAGUAACACGUGGGUGACCUGCCCUCAGCUCUGGGAUAAGCCUGGGAAACCGGGUCUAAUACUGGAUAUGACUCCAUGACGCAUGUUGUGGGGUGGAAAGCCUUGUGCGGCUGAGGAUGGGCCCGCGGCCUAUCAGCUUGUUGGUGGGGUGAUGGCCUACCAAGGCGACGACGGGUAGCCGGCCUGAGAGGGCGACCGGCCACACUGGGACUGAGACACGGCCCAGACUCCUACGGGAGGCAGCAGUGGGGAAUCUUGCGCAAUGGGCGAAAGCCUGACGCAGCGACGCCGUCG
rnacentral:rRNA from 1 species